rnacentral:piRNA from 1 species
UGACGCCACGUUUUUUUCCAU